rnacentral:lncRNA from 1 species
CCAGCCUGGGCGACAGAGCGAGACUCCGUCUCAAAAAAAAAAAACAAAAAACAUGCUAGACAAAGCUGCUGGCUCUUACUCUUUGAUGGUUUAAUGCUGCGAACGUAAUUCAAAAUCAAAGCUGUUGGAACUUUAAGUUAUUUUGCGCCUUAAAAGAAUGUUAUUAUGGAACCUGAGCUACAUAACAGGCAGCUGCGUUUGUUCCUCUGAUUAUAGAUUAGCCUUUCUUUCCUACAUCGUUUUGUGAAAACACAGGGAGAAGACAGCCAUGUACAAACCAAGGAGAGAGACCUCAAGGUAACCACACCUUGAUCAUGGAAUUCUAGCCACCAGAAUUGUUAAGACAAUAAAUGUCUGUUGUUUAGGCCACCUAGUCUGUGGUACUUUGUUAUUGGCAGCCCUAGCAAACGAAUACACUGGCAUAUGGUGUUUUCAAUUAAUGCCAACCAUCAUUUCUCAAGGAAGCUCUUCCUGAGCUAUCUCAGGGCCCCUUUUAUAAAUUCUUACAGCCCCCCAGUAUUUCCCUUCAUGCAACAUUUUACAGUUUGUAAUUACAUAUUUGUUCUUUUUUUUUUUUAAACUAUUGGCUAUAUCUGUGAUAGACAGAGCUAUGAAAAUGGGCAUAAGCCUAUUUUACC